rnacentral:rRNA from 1 species
GACGGAGGGUGCAAGCGUUGUUCGGAUUGACUGGGCGUAAAGGGCGUGUAGGCGGUUGGUCAAGUUUGAUGUGAAAGCCCGGGGCUCAGCCCCGGAAGGGCAUCGGAAACUAGCCAGCUGGAGCGCGAUAGAGGAGGGUGGAAUUCCUGGUGUAGCGGUGAAAUGCGUAGAUAUCAGGAGGAACACCGGCGGCGAAGGCGGCCCUCUGGAUCGUUGCUGACGCUGAGACGCGAAAGCGUGGGGAGCAAACAGG